AGCGAACGCUGGCGGCAGGCCUAACACAUGCAAGUCGAACGAAGCCUUCGGGCUUAGUGGCGGACGGGUGAGUAACACGUGGGAACGUACCUUUUGGUUCGGAACAACUCAGGGAAACUUGAGCUAAUACCAGAUGAGCCCUUAGGGGGAAAGAUUUAUCGCCGAAAGAGCGGCCCGCGUUAGAUUAGCUAGUUGGUGAGGUAAAGGCUCACCAAGGCUACGAUCUAUAGCUGGUCUGAGAGGAUGAUCAGCCACACUGGGACUGAGACACGGACCAGACUCCUGCGGGAGGCAGCAGUGGGGAAUCUUGCGCAAUGGGCGAAAGCCUGACGCAGCCAUGCCGCGUGAAUGAUGAAGGUCUUAGGAUUGUAAAAUUCUUUUACCAGGGACGAUAAUGACGGUACCUGGAGAAAAAGCCCCGGCUAACUUCGUGCCAGCCGCCGCGGUAAAAC
rnacentral:rRNA from 1 species